CACAAGGCCAUCUCCACCUUGUAGCCUGGACUCUUUCAGGGGAACCUGGCACUUCGGAGGACUAUCGCAGAGAUCUAAGGAACUCCUCUGGGAUUCGUGGGCCCCUGGAACUAGAAGAUGCUAUCUUUCCUCCUGGAACACUUGGUGCAAUUGGUGCCUGGAAUGGAAUACCGAUCCCCUUACGGCCCCUAGACAGUUCAUUUUGAAUUUCCUCUCUCAUCUAUUCAAUCUAGGCCGUUCCUACAGAUCCAUCAACGUUUCCCGUUCAGCCAUCUCAGCAGCCCAUGUUCCUCUAGACGGAGUUCCGGUGGGCCAGGACCAGCUGGUUUGUAGACUAUUG